GUGAUUGGCUCCCUGGACCACAUGAUAACCUGGGUACAACCCUGGGCUGCGAGCUGUCGCCCAGCGUUUCUCUGGAGGGAAGCUGGGGAGGUUUUGGCGGCGUGGAAGACCAUCAGCUCGGAAACAACCGGGACUACAAGUGCGAGCGUAGACCCUAGUGGACCACGCGGAGGUGCGCUGACCGCCGACUGGACUCUUUCUGCGGACCUUCACAAGCGGAGCCGAGAUGGCGACCAUCGUGACCAAGUACGAGGAGUACGAGGAGUACGAGGAGGAGG